rnacentral:rRNA from 1 species
GAUGAACGCUAGCGAUAGGCUUAACACAUGCAAGUCGCGGGGCAGCACAAGGUAGCUUGCUAUCUGGGUGGCGACCGGCGCACGGGUGCGUAACGCGUAUGCAACUUGCCCUAUACAGGAGGAUAACCCGUCGAAAGACGGACUAAUACUGCGUAUGCUCACAACUUGGCAUCAAGUGGUGAGGAAAGAAAUUCGGUAUAGGAUAGGCAUGCGUCCCAUUAGCUUGUUGGUGAGGUAACGGCUCACCAAGGCAACGAUGGGUAGGGGAACUGAGAGGUUUAUCCCCCACACUGGUACUGAGACACGGACCAGACUCCUACGGGAGGCAGCAGUGAGGAAUAUUGGUCAAUGGGCGCGAGCCUGAACCAGCCAAGUCGCGUGAAGGAUGACUGUCUUAUGGAUUGUAAACUUCUUUUAGACGGGAAUAACAAGAGUCACGGGUGACUCCCUGCAUGUACCGGAUGAAUAAGCAGCGGCUAACUCCGUG